rnacentral:lncRNA from 1 species
CACAGACUUAGCAACAGUACAAAAAAAAAAAAAAUUACUUUUUUUUUUAAGUAAAUUUCUACUGGUUUCACAGAAAUUGAAUGUGGGACAGGUAGAGAGAAGAAAGCUUUUGUGUCAAAACUAAAGUGAUAAUGGUUAUGGAUUCUUUGUAAUAUUGUUGCUUCCUAUGGACUGCACAAUGCUCUGUUUCACCAUCAAGUAGAUCUUAUCUCCCUUGAGUCUUUUCUGAGGUGCAGAUGUAACUUUUUAUAGGUGCCCUUUUUCCUUCAGAUUAUUACUGCAGAGGAUUGUUAUUCAGUGUGGGGCAGGAAACCUCAAUGAAAAUAUUCUUUUUGUAAUGGUUUUCUAACAAAAUGAGUAUUUUCAAAGUAAAAUUUUCAUUAGUGAUGUGGAAAGACCUGUUUGGGUUUGGUAUGUUUUUAUGAUGUAUUUUUCUGUACCUCUAGGAAUGGGAGUAGUUGCCUUCCUCUUCAUAGCAUGCUGUUAUCUUAAGACUUAUGGACAAUGCUGCGUAGAGAUGUUACUGGAUGAAACUGGAUACCUCUCAUUCUGCUGAAGACCCAUUAGAUGUAUGGAACCAAACCUAAUUACUGUGUCCUGGAAUUCAAUGUUGGCUUGUUACCUUUGUAAGUAACUCUAAGCUAGUAUUAAUGUUUAUUUCUUUGGGUUUUUUAAAACUUUUCUUCUUGGAAAAAUAUGCUUAUUACUUUCUAAUGUUUUCUGUGUGUUUUGGAAAUGUUCUUGAAAGCUCUCUAUCAGCUCUAUGGAAAAUAGGAAGGCUUAUCUUGCACAGUGAUAUAGAUCCUUCUUUUAACAUGAAACAAGGGAAUGUUUAGAAAUGAAAAUUUCUGAUCCCUUUUGCUACAGGAUAGUUGUUUUCCUUUGCUUCUAUACUUAAAACUUGCUUAAGGCUAUAAUUUGGGUAAAACUGGAUGCUAACACUGACAGGAGAGGCACAUGUUAAAAUAUAUAUUUGCAAACGAGCAAUAAAUACAGCAUGUGCACAAACAAAACCGAAACAUACUCAUGCUGUCACAGAGGAUAACUUUGACUUCAUAAAUACUUUGGUUCAUUAUAUAAUUAAGGUAUCUUUAAGACAGAAUGCCUUCCUAUGUUUUUCUUUAUAGCUUACUUUGGUAAGAUUAGAAUAAGGUGCUUGGCACAGGCUCUGGUCUUGCAUUUAGCUGGAUGGAAUGGAUUUUUAACCAAAUGCUUAUGUUUUGUAUUUUCAUAUCUAGUCUGUGGCUUAGACUUUCCUAUUUCUUCUGGUUAGCAAGCAAGUCUUAAGAAAAACUUGUUUCUUCAGCUCUGCUUUCACAGUUUCACAAAGCAGUACCAAAAUGCAUUUAUGGCUUACUUUGCUACUCCCAUCUUAUUACAUACACUGGUAGAAUGCUACAUGCUAUAGUUAUAACGUUCAUUUGCUUUUGUUUUUUCUCAUGCUCAGCUUUUUUAAGCAGUAUUACCAUUGGUCAGAGACAAAUACAGCUUCUGAAAUCACCAAUGUCAGCUUUAUUUUUGUAUGUUAAGAACAGUCAUUCCCAACCUCAGAAGAAUGUGCUUGAUUAUAAGGUCAUUUCCCACUGGUGACUGGGUGGUGGGUCUCACAUAGCUAACAGAAUUCUUAUUGUCCCUCUAUAACAAGAAUCUCCUUUUUUUUCCUCAGUAGAAAACACUUCAUCAGUGUCAUGUACAAGAACUCUUUCACCUCUUUCUGUACAUGAGUAAUAGAAUCUUUUUUUCUUUGUUUCCAAAUGACAAGGAGCAUCAUUUUACCUACUGAGUGUGGCUACUUGUGCUGGUCUUUUUAAGUCUGUGAAUUACAUCUGUGCAUUUUAGGUGCAUCUUCUAUUGCUAGGUGCCUUCUAUUUUAUGUGCAUCUUUGCUAGGGCCUUAGGUUGUUUUCUGGAAGGAACUCUUGGUUGUAGCUUUCAGUACUGUAGUUUUCUUCAUUGUACAUCAGGCCAAACACCAGUGAUACAAACAUUUAAUGUCCUUCAAUUUGCUGACUUGCAUAUACCCUUGUGGAAACAAGUGUGCUAUUGCUAACUCUCCUUAUCUUUCCAUUAGAAUUCUAAAUACGUGAUUCCAUGGCUGUCUCUAUCCCAUCCUUGUCAGUUAUUUGUUCUUGUUGCCAUAGUAUUUUGGGGCCCAAGACAGAAACCAACAUUACUUUAUCUGUACUUUGACCUAAAACAUUUUCAAGGCAGAGGCAUAAAACAUAAGUGGGGGAAGUGAAAGUAGAGGUUGGCAGAAAAUAACCAAUGCAAGGGUGACAUUUUCUAUCUUAAUGUAGUCAACAGCAGUCAGAGGACAGAGGAUUCUAGCUGCUUGGUAAUCUAUUGGCAUCAUAGUUAAAUUGAGUCCUAAAGAAGGAUUUGAGGAUUGUGUAGUGACUUUGUUUCUGGUUGAUUUGUUUUCUUUUACCCUGAGCUACCUCAUUUAUACAGACAGAAUGGAAAUAAAGGAUAAGUUAUAAGAAUUGCUCUAGAUAAACAGUUGAGGCUAGAGUGGUGAGAGCACCAAGGAAAGCACUUGUUUGGCAUUUUGACAUUCAAAUUCCUUAUGGAAAAAUAAAACCAGGUGUUCAGUUCCAUAAAUUAAGGUUAUACUUUUAUUAUGUAACUCAAAAAUAAACAAUAACAAGGCACAAAGUAUAUUUCCGGAUGGUUUUUGACCUGUGGAAGAGCUGAGUUUCCAAUCUAAAAGGUGAUAAUUUCAUAUUGGUCACUGCUGCUUUUAAAGGUGAAAGUAUGUUUUUUGAGAACAUAUUUUUUUCUAAAUAAUUUCAUGUACUCUUUAAGUGAGCCUAUAUGCAAUCUUGUUUUCCUCAUAUUUACUGUAGUUGUCCUAAUAUCAUAGAGUCAGAGAAUUCUUAGAGUUGGAAGAGACUCUGAAGUCCAUCUAGUCCAAAUCCCCUGAAAUGAACAGGGACAUCCACAGCUAGAUCAGGUUGCGUGCGGAAUAUAUAUGAUCCUAAUGCAGUUCUUAUAUCUGAAUGCUAAUGAUGUGCAGAUUGUCAACUAUAGCUAAUACUAAGAAACUAUGACACAUUUUUAGUGUGUAACAUACUGGAUUUUUCUGCUCAGGUUGAAGCAGGCUACUGUUAGGUCUGUAGCUGAUGGGGUCAGAUGGAUGUGCAUCUAGCAAGUGCGGACCCAGAACAAAUCUGCAGGAGGAAUGCCAAAGUUGCAUUUGCUUAGAGAAGGAUAUUUGAAAGAUGAUAAUGCUGGGGAAAAAUGUCCCUUCAUUAUUCAGAAGUAAUUCUUUAGGAUCUUGUCCAUGCUUGAAUUUUAGCUUACGUGCAGUGAGAGCUCAUGGUUUUUAAUUAAUAAAAAAAAAAAAAAUCACUGAAGCCCAAGCAUAAGACCAAGAUAAAGUGUUUACGUUAUUGAGGAGUGAUUGACACUGUCUUCUUGUCCUACCCUGAUUAUUCCAAUGUAGCAUUUUCUCAAGAAUAGAUGCUGAGUAAAAUUAUCCUUCUUGUCUUGAAGCAGAAGAAGAGGUGUGUGAGUCUGAGAAAGAAGAAUCAUUGUUAUAGCCAUGUCGUAAUGCAUUUCCUUAUCACCCUCUCAGCAGCAGAGGUUAUAGUGGAGCAGGAAGUCAUACCAGUGUUUUUCCAGGCUUCAUUGGUAAGAAUGCUGCUAACAUGAGAUUUCAGUAUAUAAGCAAGUUCUUUGGGAAGCCUUGUAUUUAGCUUCUUGUUAUUGAGUUUCAAAACAAAUGUGUCCUCUGAUUAUUAUCUGGCAUUGCUCAAUUGCACACUUAUCUUCUUGAGUUUAACUACAGUUGGAGAAGAGCUGAACUCUUUCCUUGAGUUCUUGUGGAUGUGGCUACUUUCUGGCUUUGGGGGUAACAUAAGGUGAUGUUUUCUCCUGGUCCCAGUUUGCGUCGCAAAAUGAGUUGUCUCUCCUGAUUAAUUGUCCAGAUAUUCACAGUAGGCUUUUAUUUCUGCCUUACGCGCUUUAGUGAGUGGCUCUUAAAAUGUCAUCAUGGUUAGCAUUUGUGUCUGAAUAGGGCAGCUAAUACCUCUGAGCUGAUUUUUCACGCUGCAUCUCAAGCAGAUGUUAUUGCAUUAGUUCUGCCAUUGCUCUGUUUUCAAGGUUAUGUUGGCAACCAUAACAUCCAGAAAUCCUAGACUAUAAAGAAUAAAGCAGUAGAAAAAAAUAAGAAAACAUACCAAUGCUUACCAAUUGAUCAGCUGAGUUUUGCCAGUGGUUUUUUCAGAGAGUAAAAAACAUUCUUGUGCAGUGUAGGUCUCUGAGAGACAGCUAAAUUCUAAGUGGGGAAUGUACCUGUAUCUGCUUAAUGUCAACAGGCACCAGUGCCUCUCAUAUUUGGCAGUUUUUAUAUAAAACCAUGUAAAGCCAAAAACAUCUAGUAGUAAAAGUUUAUAUGUAGGGUACUGUCUUUUAACUAGGAGGGGAAGAGGCCUCAGUUCAAGAAAGCAUACUUAAACAUCACCGAAACCAAUGGAAUGUAUCUGUGGGGCUAAAUGCUCAAAACCUCAAGUCAACAAAGCUAUUUUGAUCUGAUCUGGGGGGUUGUCUUGUAGAGAUUAAUGGUGAAGUACCAGUCUCCGUAUUUUGUCAGAGGAAGUUCCUUCACAAGCCUUUGGGCAAAUGCAGGCUCGAUUUGCUCUGACUUGUGUGGCCUUUCCAUGCCUGCAUUUGCCAUCCUGUUUCAUCGCUAGUUCUUACCAUAAACAGGGAAAGCUUUGAGAAUAUUUUCUGAUACAGGAGAGCUCGAUAACUUCUGCACUAGCAGAUUGCUGGCUUCAGGGGGGGCAGUAAAUGGUGUUUGGAGGUUGUGUGUACAAAUUUUGAUUUAACCUGAGGUGUUUUCUCAGGUUUUUUCGUUUUAGAAAUGCAUCCUUCCAGGUUAGUGUACAGAUCUGACAGAUUUGGAAGUGAUCAGGGUCUACUGUUAUUGCUAGGGUUCUUGGAUUCUUGCUUGUCAGCUGUUCGCCCAGCACUUUGUGCUGGUAUAUAUGGCUUCUUUGUCAUAAAUUCAGAACAAACUGGAAAUAUUGGAGAUAUUUUGCUUGACUUCAGUUGAGAGGCUUAUAUGGAGUGGGGAGGGGCAGUAGUGGUAGAAAAAUCAGGGAAACUACCUGUGAUUUUAACAGUGUCUCUUCUGUGGCUUUGAAAGUCUGAAUUUCACAGCCAGAGAAUGUAUUCCCUCCCUCUUUUUAUAAGCUACAUCUUUCUUUUUGCCUUAUUAAUUGUGGAUCUGUUCCUGCUUCUGUUUAAAGCCAGUUGCAAAAAAACAGUGACCUGAAUUUCCUAGGUACAGUGUUGUCAAAUCUGAAGAACCAGGUGAGUAGAUGACUCUCGUGUAAGAUCGUACGCCCAUGUCCAUUCUUUUGAGGUAUGGGCUAGUUCCUGCUUCUGUUGAAAUCCCUGUGUGGAUAGUGUUAGGUACUUUGUAAGGAGCUCCAAACUCUGCAGGACUGGGAUUCAUCUGAUGACUUCAGUAUUUCAGUCCAUUUUUGGAGACCUCUGUAUGUCUUCUGUUCAUGGUGUUCAAAAGUCUGCUACUAUGGACGUAGCACCUGAAGGGGUGUUUUGUCCAAAGAACCUGCGUUGAAGCGGUUGCAUUAGCAAAUGGUAAUGUACCCCAGAGUUGAGUAAAAUAACAGAGGCCACCAAGGUUUUUCUUGUUUGUGUGAUGAAAUGUUGUCAAAUGAAGUGAUUUGUUGGAGCCUUCCUUUAACCUCUGUACAGCAGUAAGCUUAGGGGAAAAUAAGAUUGCAUUAUUUUUUAAACAGCUUUAUUUGUGACCUGGCUUUGUUGCCUCUGACCCUCUUGGGCUUAAAUAGUUAAAUUAUAUUAAUGUCCAGUUUGUUUCACUGUAGGUAACACAUCAACUGAAUACUCUUGUGCAUAAUCUACUGUAUCUUUCCUCUGUUCUGUGUCAAUGUAUUAUGUGUAUUUGGAUUACAGUUCUUUUUUAUUGUAUUAAAUUAUUUUAUGUUAUAGAACAAUAUUUAAGCAAAGCAAAGAGCUAAUGAAAGUUGUUGGCGUUUUGGGAUUUUUUUUUCCUCUUUGCUUUUUUUUGGAUGUACUGUAAAUUGUAAACCAAGGAUGCCAAGCAGGCUUGGUUCAAUGGCUAAAAUUAUUGUAUUACAGUGUAAUGCUGAUCUAGGCCUUGUCUCAACACUAGAGCACACAGACUUGAAUAAAACUGUUAUAAAA